ACCGUCCUUGUCUUGGGGUGAUACGGGAAACUCAAUGAGCGUCUAGCGAGAGUUCCCUGCUGACACCAUGACAACACUUUCGCACCACCUGAACUUUAAGUUUGGGACAUGGUGCAAUUUUUGGAAAA
rnacentral:ncRNA from 1 species